UUGGGUUUGAAUCGGAGAGCUGAAUGGUGACCUCUGGACAGUGAGUGGCAGUUGUGUUUAAAAAAAAAUAAAAACUGUUUGUUUCUGAGGCCAGGCCUGGAAGUUAAUUGCAGUUUGGUUCUUGAUCAAAAGCUCUGUAGACUCUUCUGGCCACUAAUGAGGUCACUAUCUGGGAACUGGCGCCAGCAAGUCUGGCAGAGGACAUGAUCAAACAGAAGGAAGGGUCAAAGUUCUUUAGAAUGGAGGCUUUCUGAGAAAACGUUGUUAAUGUUACAACAUGAAGGUUUGACAAUCCAAUGUACCUGUGAAACAAUGCAUCAUACAAGCUGCUUAAGUAAUUUGGUCAGUUUUGUUUUGAUAUUUUAAUUUAUCCCAUGAUUGUCAUUGGUGUGAAUGGGGCUGGAGACAAAGGUUAUUGGGUUAAAUCAUUACUGUGUUAACUGAGGAGUAUGCACAGUAUGGUGUUGGCAGAUGCUUGUGCCUGUGCUAGUGACUGAGUUUGAUGGGAAAAGUGUCCACAUGCACAUCUUUGUCGCAGUGCUUACUGCCAAUGUGAAAGAGGCUGAGGGAAAGAUCAGAGAGUGGAGGGAGAGAACCGAGCAGGGUGGGGGGGUGGUGCGUGAUUUGGAAAUUGGGGUUAUUCUUCGCCCAUCACCCCACCACAAAACCCAGCCCACUGUUUCUCUCACUGCUUCCCUUCCCCAGCCAUAUGUCUUUCCCUACCCCAGCCCUGGUCCCACUCCCCUCUUUCCCCAGUAUCAGCAAACUUCCAAAGAUAUUUCCUACAUAUUAUGUUGCUUUUCUGAGAACCUUCAACAAUUUGAGAACUGGAUAGAAAACGAGAGACAGAGCAGCCACUCCAGAAGCUUCCAAAAUCACUCUGCACCUUGACCUUCUUGAAUGGUUGCACUUGGAGUGCUGAAGUUGCUCCCAGAUUGCUGUCUGGCGAUCAGAAGUGGACACAUUACCCCAGAAGAGGCCUCACCGACGUUCUGUACAAGCUCAACAUAACAUCCCAACUCCUCUCAAAGGUCUGAGCAAUGAAGGAUAUGGGCAUUGCUGGCUCGGCCAGAAUUUAUUGCCCAGAGGGCUGUCCAGAGUCAACUGCAUUGCUGUGGGACUGGAGUAACGUACAGGCCAGACCAGGGAAUUGGAAAGGGGGAAUUCACAGACAGGCAGCUCAAGUCAAACAUUGGAUCAAGAGCUGCCAGUAACACUCGGUCCUCAGGAGCUUUGAACAUGGAAGGUAAAAGCAACGUUCACAGUGAAGAGAAACCAUACACGUGGUCUGUGUGGACAAGCCUUCAGUCAAUUGUCUGGCCUGUCGAUACGUAAAUGCAAUCAAAACAGGGUGACAACAAUGACAUCAAGCAGCACUUGCUUUGUAAUGUCAUGGUCAUGGAUCUCAGUUUGAGUUCAGCAAGAGCCACUCAGCUCCUGGUCUCCUUACAAUCUUGGUGCAAACAUGGACCAAACAGCUGAAUUCCAAAUGUGAGAGGGACUAUCCGCUAUCUUAAGGCUCCAUUUGACACGGCAUUGUAUUAAGGAAUCAUAACAAAGCUAAAGUCAAUGGGAACGAGAGGAUGUUAUUCUUCCUUAGAUAGCUGGUUUUUGAAAAGAUUGCAUCUUCAGACCUCGGUAGAUCAAAACAAGGUGAAUUUAAUCAAACUUGUACCACAGACAUGUGGAAGAGGUCUCGAAGUCUAGCUUGGAGACACUCAACUUUUUACAGCUCAAUACAGCAUAUUAAGACACCUUCGUGUCAGAAUGGUUGCACGUAACAUUGGUAUUAAAUAAAUUGUAUGUCAGUUACUUAC